rnacentral:misc_RNA from 1 species
GGACGGGCGUAUGAAGAAAUACGGGCAGUUGAGUCCAGAGAGAGCAAAAGUUUGGACUGAGAAAUCACCCAAGUAUCAGCAGCAGCAGCCGGCACGGUUGAGUAAUGGCAAAGUGCCUGUUGUAUAUUAUCUCUGUAGAAAUCGACAGCUCGAACAUCCUCAUUUCAUUGAAGUGCCCCUGUCUUCCACUGAUGGUCUCUACUUAAGGGAUGUAAU